rnacentral:rRNA from 1 species
ACAGCAGCAGCCGCGGUAAUGCGUAGGGUGCAAGCGUUAAUCGGAAUUACUGGGCGUAAAGCGUGCGCAGGCGGUUAUAUAAGUCAGAUGUGAAAUCCCCGGGCUCAACCUGGGAACUGCAUUUGAGACUGUAUGGCUAGAGUGUGUCAGAGGGGGGUAGAAUUCCACGCGUAGCAGUGAAAUGCGUAGAUAUGUGGAGGAAUACCGAUGGCGAAGGCAGCCCCCUGGGAUAACACUGACGCUCAUGCACGAAAGCGUGGGGAGCAAACAGGAUUAGAUACCCCGGUAGUCCCUGUCUCUUAUAC